GGAAAGGCUGGUCUCACUGUCAGCAUGCUCCCCCAACAGCAUCAAGUUUAUUUCCAGGCAGCAGGCGAGCAGGGCUGAGAACUUGUCCCAGGCUACAAGCCUCCCUGCUGACAACAGAAGCAGGGCUUUCAGGUUUUAUGCCUCUCUGCCUGCCACAGCUUCUGUGCUUGUAUCUGCACUCCCUGUUUGACCCCCUCCCCAGAUUCUGUCCAGGAAACUUCAUGUUCGGUAGAAAUUGUUAUAAAAUUCAACUGGAAGUUUUCCUCUCCCUCUGGUUUUUCCUCAAUUCCACUGGCAGCCCUCCCCAAGUUGCAAGAUAAAGACAGAAAAGGCUUCCCUGAGGACUGAGAGUGCCCACAGGGCUCUUGCUGCUGCUUUCUCUACCCCUAUAUUUUGUGCGGCUCUCAGCAUUUGUCUCAGCUCCAGAAUCCAGAGCCUGACUGGCUGUGACGCGCCCAUGGUGACACCAAGGGGACUCUGCAUGGGCACAUCCCGGCCCUCCUCCCUGCAUGUUCUCCAAGCCAGGUCUUUGAAACCUCCAGUGAUGGGAAUGACAGAAUCUGGGAUGAUUUUCUUCUGUUUCUUAUCUAAAAAAACAACAAAAAGCUCAGCAUACACGGACUCACACAAACCUUUUGCUAGAGGCAGCUCUGUAGACUUAAGACGCUGUCAUUUUUCAGAAGAACCCAGCUUGCUUUGGAACUACAGUCAGCCCUGCAACCCACCCUCACCUUGGACCCUGCUGCUGCUGUCUGUAAAGGGUCUGGAUGAAGGAAGGGAGCCUCCAGCUUGUCGGCUGUACUUGCCCAGAAUUUAGCCUUUGCAACAUGGAGCUGCGGGGAUGGGAAAUGUUGUCCACUAGCCUUCCACAAUGCUGCGAUGAAUACACCUGUGCAUUCUUUUUUAGAACAAGUGUAAGAAUUCCUAUGUGGUAAGUCUGUUUAAAGAGAAUUUCAGAUUCACGUGUAGAUGUGUUAAGUUUGAGCGAUGUUGCCAAACUCUCUUGAACUUAUACCCUCUGUAAUAAUAUAUUGGGAUAUUUGUUUCCUUUUGUUCUUGUCAGUUUUCAUACUAUAAAACUUAAACAUGUUUGACAA
ensembl:lncRNA LINC02636 long intergenic non-protein coding RNA 2636